GAGAGAGUAAGGGCAGCUCUCGGCGCACCGCGGACAUCACGGACUUUGUGCAGCUGCGCGAUCGUAAAUAACGGCGAGAGCCGUCGAAGAGCUGCAGCCCCACUCCUCGGACAGUUAUGCCGGCGGCUCACGGACGAAUGACGUGUCCGCGGUCUGCCUUCUCUCCCCACGGCUUGCGCGAGGUGUGUCGGAACAGAGAAGACACGUCCGCUGGGACUGCAAUACAGUGUGGCUGCAUACCGGAACGGAAGCGGACUCUAUUCGCGUUCGACACCUUUCGGCUCGGAGGGACUCGGUGGGCGUUCGGCUGCCAUCGGCCCGCUUCGGCGUCGAAAACCCCGACCGGCACCCGUGUCGGAGCAUGGGACAGAAACGCUGCACUUGGAUCAUGCCCUGGAUCCGUGCUUCGAGAAGCCGCGACUAUGCUGAGCGCCGGCCACCGAACAGCAAGCCGAGCUCCGCAAACGACACGUCUACGGACGACGGUUGGCUAACCCUGCCUACGGGACCUCCUUACUUGCACGUGCGAUAGAUAGCCACACAAGUGGCUAUCGCAGACAUAUGGACGGCGCUGGUGACUCCUUGGUGAGGAAACACAAUAAACUUUUCAGGAAGGCGAGGUGGUAAGAUGAGAUAGCGGUAGCGAUAGCAAAGCCGGUGUCAACGAAUUGAACGAAAUGUAUAGGCUGAAACUCAUGCGCAUUCCCGUGGACAUCAGCUUUUGUCCUUUUCAAAACUUAUCGAAAAGUAAUAUCCAGA
rnacentral:lncRNA from 1 species